GGACUACCGGGGUUUCUAAUCCCGUUUGCUCCCCUAGCUUUCGCGCCUCAGCGUCAGUGUCGGUCCAGGAAGCCGCCUUCGCCACCGGUGUUCCUCCGGAUAUCUACGCAUUUCACCGCUACACCCGGAAUUCCGCUUCCCUCUCCCGAACUCAAGCCCGCUAGUUUCCUGUGCCGUUCCCCAGUUGAGCCGGGGGAUUUCACACAGGACUUAACGAACCGCCUACGCGCCCUUUACGCCCAGUAAUUCCGAACAACGCUUGCCACCUCUGUAUUACCGCGGCGGCUGGCAC
rnacentral:rRNA from 1 species